UACGUAGGGGGCAAGCGUUGUCCGGAUUUAUUGGGCGUAAAGAGCUCGUAGGCGGUUCCGUAAGUCGUGAAGUCAAAUCUCUGGGCUCAACCCAGAAUCGCUUCCGAUACUGCGGUGACUGGAGUCCGGUAGGGGAGUGUGGAAUUCCUGGUGUAGCGGUGAAAUGCGCAGAUAUCAGGAGGAACACCAACAGCGAAGGCAGCACUCUGGGCCGGUACUGACGCUGAGGAGCGAAAGCAUGGGGGAGCGAACAGG
rnacentral:rRNA from 1 species